CUUUCAAGACACCCAAGGUCACCUUACAGAGCAUAAAGUUAUCAUAAAUCGUUUAAAAACAAGACAUUGUGGAAAAAUAAUAAUAAUAGAUAAAUAAAUAAAACAAAAACAAGACAAAACAAUCAAGACUGAUCAGUUAGACGUAAAUACAUACUGACACGUACGUCGUACAAUAUCUUGAUAAUUUUCGAUGGUUGCGCCGUACUUCUAACCACGUUGACGGGACUCGCGCUGCGUACGAAACGGCCUUCUACUUGCGGGCCCAUUUUUUACAUCAGUGAAGGCUGUAAAUCAUUUCAAACUGGAAGACAUUUUGACAGUUCUUCAACGGAACCCAGCACCUGAAUAUGGCUGAGUAAAUUUGAUUUAAUAUCGAUACUGCUUAGUGUUUGUUACUUAAGCUUUUGUACGUUCUAAAUAUCUGCGGCCAUUAUUUGCCACAGAAGUUAAACCCUACCCAAUGGAAUGACGUUAAACAACGACUUUGUUGCAGAGUUACCAACUGGAUAAUAUCAAAGCUAAAAUAAUGGCAGUUUUUCUCACAUGUUACAGUAGAAGAUUAUCCAGAACUGUAAAAGGUUAAAAAGGUAACAUGUAGUUUGUCCCAAGGUGUCUGCCUCCUCACCCAGAGCCAGACCUCCACCUCCUCACCCAGAGCCAGACCUCCACCUCCUCCCCCAGAGCCAGACCUCCACCUCCUCACCCAGAGCCAGACCUCCACCUCCUGUCAGAAGUCCUCCAGAACAGCUGAGAGGCGAGGCUGAGAGGCUGGGGACCGUCUUGUGGUGCCAGGAUGGACCGGAGACUGAGGCUGGAGACCAGGGGCCUGCAGCACCGGACCAGAGGGCCCCGCCUGGUGGAGGAGCUGGUGGAGGCCCUGCCUGGUGGAGGACGUCUGCCGUGGGGUAGAUGGAGCUUGACUCUGAAGUGAUCAUCACACUCGCUGCCACUUCUCGUAGAAUACUGCUACCACAAACUACCGGCGUUUGUACCAUUAUAUACCAGACAACUACAUCUGUUUUACCACAUGUUGAAGCAAGACUUCCGCUGUUUGUUCCAGACCAGCACUCUGUCUGAAGAGAGCUGCUGGAGGAGCUGAGACGCUGGAGGACGACUAGGAAUCGUCCAACAAGGAUUCCUUACGUAAGGGCCAGACUCGCGCUGUUUGUUCCAGACCAGGACUCUGGCUGAGGAGAGCUGAUGGAGGAGCCAAGACUCUGGAGGACGACAUCACUCCACCAACCAGGAUCCUCAGACAAAUUACGUUUGUAACCAGACCAGGAAUCUGGAGGACUGAUGGAGAAGCCGUACAUCUGGAAGGCAAAUCCUGAGGACCACCAGGACUCUACCAUCAAGGAUUCCUCGUAAGUUUGCAUUAUCUGGACAUGGUGGACUAGACACACCUGAGCUGAACCUCACCUGAUCCUGUUUGUCGGGGGCAGACACACCUGAGCUGAACCCCAACUGAACCUGACAUCCUGCUGGUCCCGUCUCCUCAGUUCAUCUGAGCCUCGUCCUCCAGAAGACUUGCUGAGCUCAGCAGAGGCUGAUGUAUCAAUGACCUCCAUUGGGAGUGAUCUUCUUGACCCCACAUGUAACCGUGUGCUUCCACACGCCUUUCCCUCACGUCUGUCACUAACCUCACUACUUCACUACUCUCUACUGCUUCUUCUUCUUCUUCCUUCUCUGUGGUUCGAACCUGUACACGGAAGGCGCGUCUUCCUGCCCUCAGAGGGUUCAGCGUUAGGGUUGAGAGUCAGGGUUUAGAGUCAGGGACAGAGCUGGUUAGGGAGGACUGCUUUUACACAAACCUCUUCACUUGCUUUACGGAAUGGUGGUGACAUUUUGAAAAGAUUCAUUUGAGGAAAUGUUUUCCUCUGCUUUCCUUUACAAAAUUGUAUUAAACUUCUGUCAAGUGUUUUUGUUGAGGAGAGCUGAUGGAGGAGCCAAGACUCGAGCCAAGAGGACGACAUCACUCUACCAACAAGGAUCCUCAGACACAUUACGUUUGGAACAAGACCAGGAAUCUGGAGGACUGAUGGAGAAGCCGUACAUCUGGAAGGCAAAUCCUGAGGACCACCAGGACUCUACCAUCAAGGAUUCCUCAUGAGUUUGCAUUAUCUGGACAAAGUGGACUAGACGCACCUGAGCUGAACCUCACCUGAUCCUGUUUGGUCGGGGGUAGACACACCUGAGCUAAACCCGCCCUGAUCCUGACAUCCUGCUGGUCCCGUCUCCUCAGUUCAUCUGAGCCUCGUCCUCCAGAAGACCUGCUGAGCUCAGCAGUCUGAGGCUGAUGGAUCAAUGACCUCCAGUGGGAGUGAUCUUCUUGACCCCACAUGUAACCGUGUGCUUCCACACGCCUUUCCCUCACGUCUGUCACUAACUUCACUACUCUCUACUGCUUCCUCUUUCCUUCCUUCUCUGUGGUUCGAACCUUUACACGGAAGGCGCGUCUUCCUGCCCUCAGAGGGUUUAGCGUUAGGGUUGAGAGUCAGGGUUUAGAGUCAGGGACAGAGCUGGUCAGGGAGGACUGCUUUAACACAAACCUCUUCACUUGCUUUCGGAAUGGUGGUGACAUUUUGAAAAGAUUCAUUUGGGAAAAUGUUUUCCUCUGCUUCCCUUUACAAAAUUGUAUUAAACUUCUGUCAAGUGCUUUUGUUUAUAUAUUAAAAUUCCACAUUGACUUCUA